GGAAAAUAGCUCAGUGGUAGAGCACAUGCUUAGCAUGCAUGAGGUCCGGGGUUCAAUCCCUAGUACCUCCA
rnacentral:tRNA from 1 species